rnacentral:pre_miRNA from 1 species
UUUUGUGCGGGAGGUUGGAAGUGUGUCAGUGGGUGUGUGUGGGUGUGUGUGUGAGUGUCUUAGAGGAAUUGUGGUUGUUCAUUGUACGGUGUGUAUAUAUAUAUGAGGUUGUAUACGAAUAUAUAUAUAUACACACCGUACAAUGAACAACCACAAUUCCUCUAAGACACUCACACACACACCCACACACACCCACUGACACACUUCCAACCUCCCGCACAAAAC